AUACGGAGGAUCCGAGCGUUAUCCGGAUUUAUUGGGUUUAAAGGGUGCGCAGGCGGCCAUUUAAGUCAGCGGUUAAAUCGUGGGGCUCAACCCCAUUCUGCCGUUGAUACUGGGUGGCUUGAUUGCGGUCGAGGUUGGCGGAAUUCGUUGUGUAGCGGUGAAAUGCAUAGAUAUGACGAAGAACACCGAUUGCGUAGGCAGCUGACCAGAUUGCAAAUGACGCUCAUGCACGAAAGUGCGGGGAUCGAACAGGAUUAGAUACCCUGGUAGUCCGCACAGUAAACGAUGAAUACUUGUUUUCGGCGAUAUAAUGUCGGAGGCAAAGCGAAAGCGAUAAGUAUUCCACCUGGGGAGUACGCCGGCAACGGUGAAACUUAAAGGAAUUGACGGGG
rnacentral:rRNA from 1 species